CCGGUUCCGCGCGACCCCCGCCCCUUCCCGGACUCCCCAGCCGAGGCGAGGGGCGGGGGCGCUGGGGACCCCGAGAGAGGGCGUGGGGGAUUGACGGAGGAGCGCUGAGAUCUCCAGCAUUCCCGGACUCGGACUGCUUGCUGAGGCUGCAGUCGAGAUUUGGGGCUGUCUCGUCUUUCCGGGCUUGAACAUAAAAUUCUCGCCCAUGGCGCAGUGGAAAGCUUUGAAGUCCGAGGUUGUGGGAUCAGAGUUGCCCCCUCGGGGGAUAAGUGACCUUGGAAAGGCUGAAUAUGAAGGCAGCUCAGACCGAGAAGACUGGUGCCCACCGCUCGCCUCCGGGCAUCCCUCCUGGCGGAGUUGGGAAGUCUGGGAUCCUUCGCCUCUCUCUCUGAUCGUGCGGAGCCAUAGCUGCAGAAGCAGCAGCUCUGCCCCCUGCUGGACACGUGAGGCAGCCCGCACUUUUCCUGUUCCAGAUGCAGCGCCCUUGUGGUGCUGGGGGGAAGAGAUUUUUUGGCUCACUCUGAUGGAAACAGCAAAACUGGGCGGAAUAAAAAUCCCAGGUUUUUUUUCUCUCUAGUUUAUUUCUGAGGAUCUGAUCUAUUUGGAUGCAGAAAACAUUUCUGUUGUUUCUCUUGCCUGGACGGCUUUUUUCCUUCCUGCUAGCCAAACCCGGCCCCUUUCAAGCCCUGUUUCAGAGUCCACCUCCUCCAAAACGCCCUUUCUGACUCUCCUCUCCUAUGUGAAUGUUUUGAAAUACAGCUAUGCACAGACCCGGCCCACGGAGUGCACACUCACAUACUGGCUUUACUGUUGUGUCCUUGAGGGUGGGGGCCAGGUUUGUGUGGCCUUUGUGUUCACAGACCCCGCCCGUAAGGUCCAGCACAGAGCUGGGGAUGAAACCUGCUGGCAAGCCCUUGU
rnacentral:lncRNA from 1 species